GAGUGAGGUGGAGGAGGACAUUCCAGGAGAUGUCACCACAGAAAAUCCCAGUAAAAAUUCAGAUGGAAACUUCAUGUUAUCAUUAAAUUAUAAAGUAGAAGAUAAAGAUAUUAUGCAGCACUCUUCGGUUACCUUUAAUGUACAUCCAGGACUUCACAAUAAAGAUCUAUCAUAUAAUCC